CCUACGGGUGGCUGCAGUGAGGAAUAUUGGUCAAUGGACGAGAGUCUGAACCAGCCAAGUAGCGUGAAGGAUGACUGCCCUAUGGGUUGUAAACUUCUUUUAUAUGGGAAUAAAAUGUUCCACGUGUGGGAUUUUGUAUGUACCAUAUGACUAAGGAUCGGCUAACUCCGUGCCAGCAGCCGCGGUAAUACGGAGGAUCUGAGCGUUAUCCGGAUUUAUUGGGUUUAAAGGGAGCGUAGGUGGAUUGUUAAGUCAGUUGUGAAAGUUUGCGGCUCAACCGUAAAAUUGCAGUUGAAACUGGCAGUCUUGAGUACAGUAGAGGUGGGCGGAAUUCGUGGUGUAGCGGUGAAAUGCUUAGAUAUCACGAAGAACUCCGAUUGCGAAGGCAGUUCACUGGACUGCAACUGACACUGAGGCUCGAAAGUGUGGGUAUCAAACAGGAUUAGAUACCCGUGUAGUC
rnacentral:rRNA from 1 species